rnacentral:rRNA from 23 species
GUGACCUCAAAUCAGGUAGGACUACCCGCUGAACUUAA